GAUGAACGCUAGCUACAGGCUUAACACAUGCAAGUCGAGGGGAAACGACAUCGAAAGCUUGCUUUUGAUGGGCGUCGACCGGCGCACGGGUGAGUAACGCGUAUCCAACCUGCCCACCACUUGGGGAUAACCUUGCGAAAGUAAGACUAAUACCCAAUGACGUCUCUAGAAGACAUCUGAAAGAGAUUAAAGAUUUAUCGGUGAUGGAUGGGGAUGCGUCUGAUUAGCUUGUUGGCGGGGUAACGGCCCACCAAGGCGAGGAUCAGUAGGGGUUCUGGGAGGAAGGUCCCCCACAUUGGAACUGGGACACGGUCCAAACUCCUACGGGAGGCAGCAGUGAGGAAUAUUGGUCAAUGGGCGAGAGCCUGAACCAGCCAAGUAGCGUGCAGGAUGACGGCCCUAUGGGUUGUAAACUGCUUUUAUAAGGGAAUAAAGUGAGUCUCGUGAGACUUUUUGCAUGUACCCUAUGAAUAAGGACCGGCUAAUUCCGUGCCAGCCGCCGCAGUAA
rnacentral:rRNA from 1 species